CCGCCGCACAGAAUCUUCCAGGAGCCCCAGGCGCAGUUAGGAGGGGGGAUAUCGCGGCGGAAUAAGGAAACCGAGGCACGCAGACACCCCCGCCCCCGGGGGGAGAUUGCAACAAGGGCUCUUGAGCUGACUGCAAGGGUGAGGGCGAGCAUUUGUGGCGGAGGCAUUCAGCCCACAGUUUGGCAGGGAGCAGCUGCUGGGUGACAGGCGGUUUCUACUUUAAAACAGUCACCAUUAUUACCACCGCUGCUGCAGAGAGGUGUCUAGGAGCUGGGAAGUUGUGAUCUCCCCGGCUCAGGAGGGAACCAAGCCGAGGCUGAGCAAAUCUGAGAUGGAAACUCAUGCUCUCCACUUCCUGAAAGCAGUCUGCCCCUGAGCCCCCUCGGAGUCUACCCCGGAUGGAUGGGAUGAAGGAAGCCAGAGGUAUCAGCCUGUCACUGUUCUUUGUCACAGAUCUCAAGGUCUACUCUCAUCAAUGCUUUCUAUAAUCGCCACCCUCCCCCAAAACCCAAACAACCCGGGGUUUCUCUGUAUAGCUCUGGCUAUCUUGAAACCCACUCUGUAGCCCAGGCUGGCCUCAAACUCAGAGAUCUGCCUGCCUCUGCCUCCUGAGUGUUGGGAUUAAGGGCGUGCACUGCACC
rnacentral:lncRNA from 1 species